GCAGCUAUAAUGCAGUCGAGCGCGGGAAGCGAACGGAACUCUUCGGAGGGAAGUUCGUGGAACGAGCGGCGGACGGGUGAGUAACACGUAGGCAACCUGCCUGUAAGACUGGGAUAACUCGCGGAAACGCGAGCUAAUACCGGAUAACACUUUCUAUCACCUGAUGGAAAGUUGAAAGGCGGCUUUUGCUGUCACUUACAGAUGGGCCUGCGGCGCAUUAGCUAGUUGGUGAGGUAACGGCUCACCAAGGCGACGAUGCGUAGCCGACCUGAGAGGGUGAUCGGCCACACUGGGACUGAGACACGGCCCAGACUCCUACGGGAGGCAGCAGUAGGGAAUCUUCCGCAAUGGACGAAAGUCUGACGGAGCAACGCCGCGUGAGUGAUGAAGGUUUUCGGAUCGUAAAACUCUGUUGUCAGGGAAGAACAAGUACGAUAGUAACUGAUCGUACCUUGACGGUACCUGACCAGAAAGCCACGGCUAACUACGUGCCAGCAGCCGCGGUAAUACGUAGGUGGCAAGCGUUGUCCGGAAUUAUUGGGCGUAAAGCGCUCGCAGGCGGUUCUUUAAGUCUGAUGUGAAAUCUUGCGGCUCAACCGCAAACGUGCAUUGGAAACUGGAGGACUUGAGUGCAGAAGAGGAGAGUGGAAUUCCACGUGUAGCGGUGAAAUGCGUAGAGAUGUGGAGGAACACCAGUGGCGAAGGCGACUCUCUGGUCUGUAACUGACGCUGAGGAGCGAAAGCGUGGGGAGCGAACAGGAUUAGAUACCCUGGUAGUCCACGCCGUAAACGAUGAGUGCUAGGUGUUAGGGGGUUUCCGCCCCUUAGUGCUGAAGUUAACGCAUUAAGCACUCCGCCUGGGGAGUACGGCCGCAAGGCUGAAACUCAAAAGAAUUGACGGGGACCCGCACAAGCGGUGGAGCAUGUGGUUUAAUUCGAAGCAACGCGAAGAACCUUACCAGGUCUUGACAUCCUUUGACCGCUCUAGAGAUAGAGUUUUCCCUUCGGGGACAAGUGACAGGUGGUGCAUGGUUGUCGUCAGCUCGUGUUCGUGAGA
rnacentral:rRNA from 1 species